rnacentral:rRNA from 1 species
GAUGAACUCUGGCGGCGUGCCUAAUACAUGCAAGUCGAGCGAACGGACGAGAAGCUUGCUUUUCUGAUGUUAGCGGCGGACGGGUGAGUAACACGUGGAUAACCUACCUAUAAGACUGGGAUAACUUCGGGAAACCGGAGCUAAUACCGGAUAAUAUUUUGAACCGCAUGGUUCAAAAGUGAAAGACGGUCUUGCUGUCACUUAUAGAUGGAUCCGCGCUGCAUUAGCUAGUUGGUAAGGUAACGGCUUACCAAGGCAACGAUGCAUAGCCGACCUGAGGGGGUGAUCGGCCACACUGGAACUGAGACACGGUCCAGACUCCUACGGGAGGCAGCAGUAGGGAAUCUUCCGCAAUGGGCGAAAGCCUGACGGAGCAACGCCGCGUGAGUGAUGAAGGUCUUCGGAUCGUAAAACUCUGUUAUUAGGGAAGAACAUAUGUGUAAGUAACUGUGCACAUCUUGACGGUACCUAAUCAGAAAGCCACGGCUAACUACGUG